rnacentral:rRNA from 1 species
UCCUGGCUCAGGAUGAACGCUGGCGGUAUGCCUAACACAUGCAAGUCGAACGGUCACUUCGGUGAUAGUGGCGGACGGGUGAGUAACGCGUGAGAAUCUGCCUCUUGGUUGGGGACAACAGUUGGAAACGACUGCUAAUACCCAAUGUGCCGCAAGGUGAAAGAUUUAUUGCCAAGAGAGGAGCUCGCGUCUGAUUAGCUAGUUGGCGGGGUAAAGGCCCACCAAGGCAUCGAUCAGUAGCUGGUCUGAGAGGAUGAGCAGCCACACUGGGACUGAGACACGGCCCAGACUCCUACGGGAGGCAGCAGUGGGGAAUUUUCCGCAAUGGGCGAAAGCCUGACGGAGCAAUACCGCGUGAGGGAGGAAGGCUCUUGGGUUGUAAACCUCUUUUCUUAGGGAAGAACACAAUGACGGUACCUAAGGAAUAAGCAUCGGCUAACUCCGUGCCAGCAGCCGCGGUAAUACGGAGGAUGCAAGCGUUAUCCGGAAUUAUUGGGCGUAAAGCGUCCGUAGGUGGUUUUUCAAGUCUGCUGUCAAAGACCGUGGCUUAACCACGGAAAGGCAGUGGAAACUGAGAGACUAGAGUUCGGUAGGGGUAGCGGGAAUUCCCAGUGUAGCGGUGAAAUGCGUAGAUAUUGGGAAGAACAUCGGUGGCGAAGGCGCGCUACUGGACCGAAACUGACACUCAGAGGACGAAAGCUAGGGGAGCGAAAGGGAUUAGAUACCCCUGUAGUCCUAGCUGUAAACGAUGGAAACUAGGUGUGGCUUGUAUCGACCCGAGCCGUGCCGAAGCUAACGCGUUAAGUUUCCCGCCUGGGGAGUACGCACGCAAGUGUGAAACUC